rnacentral:lncRNA from 1 species
CCCGCUGAGUCAUCGGUUGGCAUCCAUUGGCCCUUUCAGGUUUCCCCUCAUCCAGCUGCCCAGCAUCGACAAUGUCCCUUUCAUUCUAGAAGGUCAUCGUUGUGCCAAACACUGAGGGGGCCUGGAAGUCACCUUUCCUCUACCUGACAGAGAACGUCCAUGCACCCAGAGACAUGCUCCUUUUCUUCUGACAAAGAAAGGGACAGUGUGGACCCUUGGACCUUGGCAUACGCCAGUCACAAGAGGUCAUGGGAAUGGGCAGAAAUGUGUAUUUCUCACAAUUUGCUGUAUGGUAAUCACAGGCUUCUUGACUUUCUGCGAGGACAUGUCCCUUCCUUUAACUGCAGCUGUGCACAUUCUUGCCCUGUGGGGACAGAUUCAAGACGUUUUGAGACACUGAAAGGCAUCCUGUGUCUCUCGAGGCAGAGGGCAGGGUGGGAAGGGCAUGGAGAACCUUCUGGGGUCUGAGAAAACUGAACGGGAGCCUUGCAGACUCAUUUAGCACAAUAGAAUGGAUUUUGAGGUCAAGAAAAUUAUCUUCUCCUUGGAUUUUGCCAGAAAAAUGUCGAUUACUGGUGAGAAGCCUCUUCUUUCUUGCUCCAGUGGAGUUUUUCCAAAAUGAUGUUAGAGAUGAAAUCAGCUAAUUUGCAUAUUUUUGGAGAGUAAAAAUUGAGUCAAGAAUCUUUCAUUGGGUUCACUUUAGCGACUUAAAAAAAAAUUCCACUCAACAGGAAUCCAAUGCUUCUUUCAUCUAAUUAUAGAAAGCAUCAUUAUUAUUUUAAAAAGUCUGCCAUUAUCCAUCACAUCCGAUUUUCAUGGAGGGUUCGGCUCUUCAAAGUAUUUGCUUUAUUCCCUGUCCAAGCUCAGAGGCUCUUGUGCUUUAAUUUGGGUAAAGCCCGUCCGUGGAACAGGUGCCCAGGGUCCCAUCACCAGCCAUCCCUGCCUCCUGUCCACUCUGUUCUUCCCUGUUGACCCUAAUCGCAUUUCCCGCAGGACCUUUUCCAGUCCCAGGAUUGAGUCUUCGAGUCGCGUCUCCACUUCUUGCCGUCCUGAGUUUCAGAAGACCGUCUGCCCUCUGAGUUUGCUGACAACUCUGAGACCGUCCACUCUCCAGUCACGUGCUCUCCCCUCCCUCAGCACUUGAGUGGGACGACCGACUGAAAACAUUCUCCAGGCAAGCAACUCUUUUGACUAAAGCAAAAUGUGAUCCAU